rnacentral:rRNA from 1 species
UGGGUAAUCUGCCCUGCACUUCGGGAUAAGCCUGGGAAACCGGGUCUAAUACCGGAUAUUCAGUUCCUGCCGCAUGGUGGGGGUUGGAAAGUUUUUCGGUGCAGGAUGAGCCCGCGGCCUAUCAGCUUGUUGGUGGGGUAAUGGCCUACCAAGGCGACGACGGGUAGCCGGCCUGAGAGGGUGAUCGGCCACACUGGGACUGAGACACGGCCCAGACUCCUACGGGAGGCAGCAGUGGGGAAUAUUGCACAAUGGGCGAAAGCCUGAUGCAGCGACGCCGCGUGGGGGAUGACGGUCUUCGGAUUGUAAACCCCUUUCAGUAGGGACGAAGCGCAAGUGACGGUACCUGCAGAAGAAGCACCGGCCAACUACGUGCCAGCAGCCGCGGUAAUACGUAGGGUGCGAGCGUUGUCCGGAAUUACUGGGCGUAAAGAGCUCGUAGGCGGUUUGUCGCGUCGUCCGUGAAAACUCGGAGCUUAACUCCGAGCUUGCGGGCGAUACGGGCAGACUUGAGUACUACAGGGGAGACUGGAAUUCCUGGUGUAGCGGUGAAAUGCGCAGAUAUCAGGAGGAACACCGGUGGCGAAGGCGGGUCUCUGGGUAGUAACUGACGCUGAGGAGCGAAAGCAUGGGUAGC